GACGAACGCUGGCGGCGUGCUUAACACAUGCAAGUCGAACGGAAAGGCCUCUUUCGGGGGGUACUCGAGUGGCGAACGGGUGAGUAACACGUGAGUAACCUGCCCUUGACGUUGGGAUAACUUCAGGAAACUGGGGCUAAUACCGGAUAGGAGCUCCUGCUGCAUGGUGGGGGUUGGAAAGUUUCGGCGGUUGGGGAUGGACUCGCGGCUUAUCAGCUUGUUGGUGGGGUAGUGGCUUACCAAGGCUUUGACGGGUAGCCGGCCUGAGAGGGUGACCGGCCACAUUGGGACUGUGAGACGGCCCAGACUCCGACGGGAGGCAGCAGUGGGGAAUAUUUCACAAUGGGUGGAAGCCUGAUGCAGCAACGCCGUGUGCGGGAUGACGGCCUUCGGGUUGUAAACCGCUUUCGCUCAUGACGAAGCUUUGUGUGACGGUAGUGGGUAAAGAAGCACCGGCUAACUACGUG
rnacentral:rRNA from 1 species